UACGUAGGGUGCGAGCGUUGUCCGGAAUUAUUGGGCGUAAAGGGCUCGUAGGCGGUUUGUCGCGUCGGGUGUGAAAACACUGGGCUUAACUCAGUGCUUGCUUCCGAUACGGGCAGACUAGAGGUAUGCAGGGGAGAACGGAAUUCCUGGUGUAGCGGUGAAAUGCGCAGAUAUCAGGAGGAACACCGGUGGCGAAGGCGGUUCUCUGGGCAUUACCUGACGCUGAGGAGCGAAAGUGUGGGGAGCGAACAGG
rnacentral:rRNA from 1 species